rnacentral:misc_RNA from 1 species
GACAGAAAUAGAAUCACGCGCGGACGCUCGUUUGUUGAUAGGGCUGCAACGUUGCGUUUUAUGGGUAAGAGUAAGGAGGCGAAACGACUGGGGCAUCUAGUUUUCUUAGCUGGAGAAGCUGCGAGCCAAGUAACGAACGUUUGCAUUUGACAUGGUUGGUAGUUCUCUGUGUAUAUUGCUUUCUUGUUUCUGCUGAUUUUUCACAGUAAUGACUCGCUCUCUGCAGCAUAGAAUUCUUGAAAUUAUUAUCGACGGCGAAUUUUUCAUGCUUCCCGCGUCCACCUUUUUUAGUCAUUGAGCUGUGUUCGUCAAAGAUUUAGAAGUUAUCAUGUUUUCAUACUGUUUGAUGAAAUGCCCCAACCACUUUAGAUUCUUAUAAACUGCAGCCUUUCCUUUUCCUGACUUUCGAAAUCUGUUCUUUCUGUCCUUGAACUUGCAGCUUCAGGAGAAAUUCCGUUUUUUCGAGCAGCAUUAGUUCCCUGUUAAUUCGUGAGAUAAACCUGUAUUGAUUUCAUGAUUUUUUAUUGAUUCAAAUCUGCAAAACAUGUCGGCAUUAAUAUCAACAAGGUUGCUCCUCCUUUUUGGGGAAUCAUCGCCAUUGAAGAAACUGUCGCGUGUCUCUAGGACAGCUUUGUGCCGUGGCAGUGUACGUUUUCUCACUUACGCUGGGCAAGACCAGGGGCCACUUACUCUUGCAAGCCUGGGAUUCAAAAGCGAGUUUGAAAGAACAGACAAGAUCAAAACAAAUAAACAUGAAAAAGCGAAGCUUAAUUCAGCUAUUGAAGUUCCCAAGAGUAAAGUGAAGGCGGUUGGAAGGAAUGGAACUAGAGCUGUUGGUGUUAAAAAAUCGCUUGAAAUAGAGUCAGCUCCAUUUGCUGCAAAAUCAUUUUCUGAGCUUGGUAUCCCACCUUUGUUGCUAGAAAGUUUGGAGAAUGAAGGCUUCAAAGUUCCAACAGAGGUUCAAUCUGCAGCUAUCCCCACUAUUCUCAAGAAUCAUGAUGUUGUCAUACAGUCUUAUACAGGGUCAGGUAAAACGUUGGCGUAUCUCCUUCCUAUACUGUCUGAAGUUGGACCAUUGGCAAAUAAAUCUUCUAAUGGUGAUGAAGUAUCUGGGAAGAAAUCGGAGAUAGAAGCAGUUAUUGUUGCUCCUUCUAGGGAGCUGGGUAUGCAAAUUGUGAGGGAGUUUGAGAAGCUGCUGGGACCGGCAAACAAGAAAGUAGUUCAGCAACUUGUUGGUGGUGCAAACCGAUCAAGACAAGAAGAAGCUCUUAAGAAAAACAAGCCAGCAAUUAUUGUUGGUACUCCUGGAAGGAUUGCAGAUAUCAGUGCAGCUGGGAAGCUUCACACCCAUGGUUGUCGUUAUUUGGUUUUAGAUGAAGUUGAUGAACUCCUUUCUUUUAACUUCCGUGAGGACAUGCACCGGAUAUUGGACCAUGUAGGGAGGAGAUCAAGUGCAGACCCUCCUGGACCAAAAGGCCUACUUGCCAGGAAGGCUGGGCGUCAGACAAUUCUGGUAUCUGCAACAGUUCCAUUUUCGGUCAUAAGGGCAGCUCGGAGUUGGGGAUCUGAUCCGCUUCUUGUUCAGGCAAAAAAAGUUAUUCCACUUGAAUCCCUACCUGCAUCUGGACCGGUUAAUCUGUCAAGGCCUAAAUCCAGUUCAAGCUCAAACCAGAAUUUGCAGCCUCAGGCAGCAAUACAGAGUCUUCCUCCAGCUUUGAAACACUACUAUUGUGUUACAAGGUUACAACACAAGGUUGACACUUUGAGAAGAUGUGUUCAUGCGCUUGAUGCCAAGUCUGUGAUAGCUUUUAUGAACCACAGCAAGCAACUAAAAGAUGCUGUCUUCAAGCUGGAGGCUCGUGGGAUAAAAGCUGCAGAAUUACAUGGAGAUCUUGGCAAGCUUGCUAGGUCUACCAUUCUAAAGAAGUUUAAAAAUGGCGAGGUGAGAGUUCUAGUAACAAAUGAACUAUCAGCAAGGGGUUUGGAUGUGCCAGAAUGCGAUCUCGUUGUUAAUCUGGACUUGCCUACAGACUCAAUUCAUUAUGCACAUCGAGCUGGCAGGACGGGUCGGCUUGGCAGGAAGGGCACUGUGGUAACCAUUUGUGAGGCGCCAGAAAUGUUUAUUGUGAAAAAGGUGCAAAAGCAGCUUGGGAUGCCUAUUCUUGCUUGUGAGUUUAUAGAGGGCAAGCUUGUUCACAUGGAAGAAGAGAAGGAACCUUUGGAAUCUUUAAAAUGAUGGAGAUCUUAUUUACUCAGUGCACCUUUGGUAGCAACUGUAACCUUAUUUUUGCUUUUAAAGCAUAUAUAUUUUGAGGUUAAAUUUGAAAUUGUGAGAAUGCAUGCCAUUAGCAAGGGAGGUAGUAAACGAGACCUCUUAAGGUUAUGAUAGAACUCUAAAGUGCAUGGAUCAGAUGAUCUCAACUACUUUCCUGUAUAAUUGACAUAGUUUUCUUCUUCAUCAUCUUCUUCCUUGUUUUGUU